GACGAACGCUGGCGGCGUGCUUAACACAUGCAAGUCGAACGGAAAGGCCCUGCUUUUGUGGGUUGCUCGAGUGGCGAACGGGUGAGUAACACGUGAGUAACCUGCCCUUGACUUUGGGAUAACUUCAGGAAACUGGGGCUACUACCGGAUAGGAGCUCCUGCUGCAUGGUGGGGGUUGGAAAGUUUCGGCGGUUGGGGAUGGACUCGGGGCUUAUCAGCUUGUUGGUGGGGUACUGGCUUACCAAGGCUUUGAUGGGUAGCCGGCCUGAGCGGGUGACCGGCCACAUUGGGACUGGAAUACGGCCCAGACUCCUACGGGGGGCAGCGGUGGGAAAUUUGGCACAAUGGGCGGAGGCCUAAUGCAGCAACGCCGGGUGCGGGAUGACGGCCUUCGGGUGGUAAACCGCUUUCGCCUGUGACGAAGCGGGAGUGACGGUAAUGGGUAAAGAAGCACCGGCUAACUACGUG
rnacentral:rRNA from 1 species